rnacentral:rRNA from 2 species
AGGUCAAGCUACAAAGGGCGCAUGGUGAAUGCCUUGGCACUAGGAGCCGAAGAAGGACGCGAUAAGCUGCGAUAAGCCUUGGGUAGCCGCAAAUAGGCUGAGAUCCAGGGAUUUCCGAAUGAGGAAA